AAUUGCUGUUAAGUCCAAUCUGAAUGUUGUUUCACCAUGGGAAGUGUUCUAGAUAAGUAUUUUUUUCAACAUUACAUAUGGUUUCACAAUAACGGAAAGCACAUUUUAUUCCACCUAUAGUUGAUUGAAAAAAUCCUAACAUCAAAACCUGGUGGUGAACGCAUUAUGCAAGAGUAUGGAAAAACCAAAUCUCUGACAGAUGCCACCAGAAGACAGAUGAUUAACAUACUUGCUGCUGAGAUGACAGAAACACAUGGGACAUCCCCCCCCAAAAGUGUUAGAGUGAUGUAUGCACAGGGGAUAGUAACCUUGUUUCCCUAUCUAGAAGACCCAUACUCACAACAUGGAUAUGAACAUUACUACGAUCCGGAGAGUGGUUCGGGAUACCUUGCAUGGC